rnacentral:rRNA from 1 species
CGGCUCGUUCCCUUGUGGAGCGAGCGCAGUUAUUASAACAAAACCAAUCCGGCCUUCGGGUCGGUUAAAAUGGUGACUCUGAAUAACCGAAGCGGAGCGUAUGGUCUCGUACCGACGCCAGAUCUUUCAAGUGACUGCUCUAUCAGCUUGUUGCUAGGUUAUGCUCCUAGCAAGGCUUCAACGGGUAACGGGGUAUCAGGGUCCGAUACCGGARAGGGAGCCUGAGAAACGGCUACCACAUCCAAGGAAGGCAGCAGGCGCGCAAAUUACCCACUCCCAGCACGGGGAGGUAGUGACGAAAAAUAACGAUGCGAGGGCAUAUUGCUUCUCGUAAUCGGAAUGGGUACACUUUAAAUCCUUUAACGAGGAUCUAUUGGAGGGCAAGUCUGGUGCCAGCAGCCGCGGUAAUUCCAGCUCCAAUAGCGUAUAUUAAAGUUGCUGCGGUUAAAAAGCUCGUAGUUGGAUCUGGGCAGCUGGAUGUGCGGUGCGCUUUACAGCGUUACUGCUCGUUUGGCGCCACAAGCCGGCCAUGUCUUGCAUGCUCUUCACUGCGUGUGCUUGGCGACCGGAACGUUUACUUUGAAAAAAUUAGAGUGCUCAAAGCAGGCGUAUGGCCUUGCAUAAUGGUGCAUGGAAUAAUGGAAUAGGACCUCGGUUCUAUUUUGUUGGUUAUCGGAGCUCGA